rnacentral:rRNA from 1 species
CGUAGGCGGUUUGGUAAGUCAGAUGUGAAAUCCCGGGGCUCAACCCCGGAACUGCAUUUGAUACUGCCGGACUUGAGUAAUGGAGGGGUAGCUGGAAUUCUCGGUGUAGCAGUGAAAUGCGUGGAUAUCGAGAGGAACACUCGUGGCGAAGGCGAGCUACUGGACAUUUACUGACGCUGAGGCUCGAAGGCCAGGGUAGCGAAAG